GACGAACGCUGGCGGCGUGCUUAACACAUGCAAGUCGAGCGGAGAUUAGUUGAAGGUUUACCUGAUACUGAUUUCAGCGGCGGACGGGUGAGUAACGCGUGGGCAACCUGCCUCAUACAGGGGGAUAACACUGGGAAACUAGUGCUAAUACCGCAUAACACAUUUUUGUGGCAUCACAGAAAUGUCAAAGGAGAAAUCCGGUGUGAGAUGGGCCCGCGUCCGAUUAGCUAGUUGGAGGGGUAAUGGCCCACCAAGGCGACGAUCGGUAGCCGAACUGAGAGGUUGAUCGGCCACAUUGGGACUGAGACACGGCCCAGACUCCUACGGGUGGCUG
rnacentral:rRNA from 1 species